rnacentral:lncRNA from 1 species
UUUCUUUCCAACUUGGAGCCUCUCAGACCCAAUCCCGGCGACAAAGGAAGGGCUGUCCAUCCAGGCAGGGCUGUUUAUAGCUUCUGCGUGCUCGGCAGCUUGAUGCAAGUUAAGUCAGGCUUGAGUUAUUGACUAAAUGUUUGCCUGUGCAUCUCCAGGUUAGAGUCAUCCUGCAGCAGAGCCCUUGAAGGACAUCCGGAAGCGCACAGCUGCUGCCUCCGCGCCUAUGUUUUGCUAACGGAUGAAGUUUCUUCUGCAAUUUCUCCAGUCUGAAAAAAAAUGACUGACUUAAGGCUUGUGAGGGCAAAUGGUUCAAAUGGUACCGUAUGCUUUGUAUUGUUCAGUUAAGGAUGUGCCUUUCUUAUUAGGAUUGUUGUUGUUGGUUGUUGAUUUACCCAGGACUAGAAGAUAGGACUGUCUCCCUCUUGGAGAGAUGGAGUCUCUUUAAUUCAUUCAAGAAAUCCUUAGUGAUCCUCCACUCUGGAACAAGCAGAGUGUGAGGCUCACUUUUGGGGGAAAUGAAAGAGAAUAAAAAUUGCUGUUGGUGUAGGCAUAGCGGCUUACACUUAUAAUUCCCAGGCCCUUGAGAGGCUUGGGUGGGAGGAUUACUUGAGGCCAGGAGUUCAAGACCAGCCUGGGUAAUAUAGCAAGA